AUGGCAUUCUUUCGGGUUCGUUCAAACGUUGCGGAUGUGGUCGUCGUCACCAUGCUCCUGCUCCAAGCUUUUGGUGAAGUUUCAGCAUCUUCCUCGCUACAAUAGCAUUAGCAUCGGUUCCGCAAGAUGCUCAGGAUCAAUGCAUCUUCCAUGUCGUCGAGUGGCGGCGAGCCAUUGGAGCUGGAGGAGUGCUCAAAGGAGCUCCUGGAGGUGUCGCAGAACAACGUGUUGAGCAUUGCCGGUGGCAUGCCAACCUACAGCGUGGAGAUCACCAACACCUGGAUCGACUAAGCCGUGUGCUACGUCCACGUCGCAUGCGGCGACUUCGCCUCAAAUGAUUUCAUCGACCCAGACAAGUUUCACUGCCUCAUCUUUAACGACUGCCUCAUCAAUGGUGGCGGAUCCAUUGAGCCCAGCUUUCCUGUAUCGUUCCAGUAUGGCAACUCCUUUCCCUACCGGACGACAGUCGCGCCCGCCUCAUGUAACUGCAACUAG
rnacentral:rRNA from 1 species